rnacentral:rRNA from 1 species
UCGCACCUACCGAUUGGAUGGUCCGGUGAAGCCUCGGGAUUGUGACCGGUGCCUUUACUGGUGUCGGUCGCGAGAACUUGUCUAAACCUUAUCAUCUAGAGGAAGGUG